rnacentral:rRNA from 1 species
AGCGAACGCUGGCGGCAGGCUUAACACAUGCAAGUCGAGCGGGCCCUUCGGGGUCAGCGGCGGACGGAUGAGUAACGCGUGGGAACGUGCCUUCUGGUCUGGAAUAACCCUGGGAAACUAGGGCUAAUACCGGAUACGCCCUUUUGGGGAAAGGUUUACUGCCGGAAGAUCGGCCCGCGUCUGAUUAGCUAGUUGGUGGGGUAACGGCCUACCAAGGCGACGAUCAGUAGCUGGUCUGAGAGGAUGAUCAGCCACACUGGGACUGAGACACGGCCCAGACUCCUACGGGAGGCAGCAGUGGGGAAUAUUGGACAAUGGGCGCAAGCCUGAUCCAGCCAUGCCGCGUGAGUGAUGAAGGCCUUAGGGUUGUAAAGCUCUUUUAUCCGGGACGAUAAUGACGGUACCGGAGGAAUAAGCCCCGGCUAACUUCGUG